rnacentral:rRNA from 1 species
GUCCACGCCGUAAACGAUGGAUACUAGCUGUUGGGGGUAACUUCAGUGGCUAAGCGAAAGUGAUAAGUAUCCCACCUGGGGAGUACGUUCGCAAGAAUGAAACUCAAAGGAAUUGACGGGGCCCGCACAAGCGGUGGAGCAUGUGGUUUAAUUCGAUGAUACGCGAGGAACCUUACCAAGGCUUAAAUGUAGUUUGACCGAUUUGGAAACAGAUCUUUCGCAAAGACAAAAUUACAAGGUGCUGCAUGGUUGUCGU